rnacentral:sRNA from 1 species
AAAGAGUUUAAAAGAUUCACGAGUGCAAAGGGUAGAGUAAAGUUCUUGUAUUGGGACUGGAGUUGGGAUUACCAUUAGAGCUUCAUUGUUAUACUCUAGGUAGAUGGGAUCUUAUCUCUGUAUGCAUAGCUUGGGACUUACCUUUAGCAUUCUACUAAAGCUCAAUCAUAUUUUGAGAGAUCCCUUGUUACUGAAGCCUAUUG